GCGGGUGUGGUGGAACUGGCAGACACGCUAGACUUAGGAUCUAUGCCGUAAGGCGUGGGGGUUCGACUCCCUUCACCCGCA
rnacentral:tRNA from 1 species